UACAGUAAAGACGAGAAGUAGUGUUGGACACACAAUAGAACCAGUGGAGAGUAAGCUGCCACACUGGUCUGUCUUUAAAAACACACACACAUUGAAUGAUAAUACUAGUAUAUAUAAAUAUAGUGUGUGUAUCAGUAUUAUCAUACGCAUUUUUCCUGCUUCCAACACAUCAACUUCGAGAACUGGCUGUCCACUUGCUCCCUAAUAUAUCCCACCCCUUGACAGGUACCAUUUUAACAAGAUAAUCAACAUUAUUCACUUCACCUGUCAGUGGUUUUAAUGUAGAGACACAUGCACGCACAGCCAAUAAAAACAAUAAAAAUCCUUUAUACAUCCUCUAUACACUGGAGACAUGCUUGUGCUCCCCAACCACUUUUUGAAAGUGUAGUCUGUUGAAAAUAUACAUAACAGCACACAAAAAAAAUAGAUGAAAAGUUCUUCGAUACAAGAGUCGCUUGAUACUACAGAAUGCAGAUGAGUGAGAACCAAACACACAAACACACACACGCACAGACUUCAGGGGUUUCUUCUCUGAGAAUGUUAUGAGCUGUUUUGGUUAUUGCUCAGUGGUGUUUAACUAUUCCAGUUUUUCUGUCAUGCACACAGCAGUGAGGAAUGUUCAAGCAUGAGAACAGACAAACAUUGUUAGGAUUGGCAUGAUCUUGGUUCUGUUUGUAUUUCUGGCUCCUUAGCUCCUUCUACUUAACAUGUUGUUGCAACAUUGUGAAAAGACAUCCUUUUCCACAAUACGGAAAAAAUUCCCACGCUUCCACUCAGCGAGUCUCAAGGUGGAAUGUGCAUCACUUCCUGUUCCCUGCAGAUUUGGACAGGAAGUGCCCUUCCUGUCUCCCUGUGUGUCUGUCUUAUUGUAUGACACUUGAUUAAACUCCUAACAAUCCAACAGUGCUUGUUUUCUUAAAAGCAAAGGAAAAGGGCCCUUUCCCAGAUAAACAAACACACACAACAUACUAACUAUGGAGAGAGAGAGAGUGUGUCAAACGUGAUAUUCACCUAAAAGGACAACAGAUAUGUUAUCAUAUUGAGACUGUGUCUGAGCUAAAUGAACUAAAAUGCAGAAAUUCUCAGAAAGUUUAUUCUAGUAAUCUAAUUAACAUAAAACUAAAUGCACUGUCAACACCUUUUGAUCUGAAGUUAAGAGUGCUAAAUAUUAGAUCCUUUAUGUCUAAGGUGCUGAUCUGGAAUUUAAUGUUUUAUCUAACAGAAAUUUGGAUUUCUGUUAGACCAAAAGUGCAUGUACCUUUAAAUCAGGCAUUACCCAGAAAUCUGGAUAUGAAUUUAAAUAAUUUUAAGUACUUUUUAUAUACAGUAUAUUGCCAGAAUAAAGAAGUCUACUCAAUCAUUUCCACUAGUAUUUACAGGCCACUGGGACCAUAUUCCAAACUUCAGGAAUGCAAUGACUUCCUCUUAAAUCUACUUGUUUCAGAAGUAAAAGCAACAAUUGUCAGAAACUUCAAUAUUCCUUAUGAUAAAUUUCGAGACCAGUGUAUGAGUCUCUAUUUGACAGUAGGUGUCAUUGAGAAUAUAAAAGGACCCACUCAUUACAGUGGACACAAAACUGAUUUAACAUCUGGCACACUGACUAGUCAACGUCGUAACGGGUUCAGAAGUGAUGCCAAAAUGUCUCUGAGGCCCCCUAGUGGCUGGCUGCAGUACAAUUCAUAACUCCACCCAUUCCCAUGAGAGUGAAUGGGCAAGUCAAAAUUACUUUAAGUAAAAUUAUUAUUGGGAAUGGUGUUCUGAUAUUUUUACAAGUUUAGUUGACCUUGAUAUCUCCUCCAGUGUUUCUCUUUACUAUGAAGGUGUUUUAUAGGAGUUAUCCGAUAAUAAUUUAAACAGCGGGGUUGAUGAGGUGAUUGACAGUUUUGUACAUGACAGUAGAGACUCAUGAAUGCAGGCACACACUUUCCAACACACACCCAAAGCUCUUGCCUGUUCUGCAGCAAAGUCAUAUCUUGUUCUGCUGUAAGCUUUUCUAACAGACCUUCAGUGCAGUGUAACCAGCGGAGUCCCAGCACCUGUAAAGGCCAAAAUAUGAAGAGAAACAAAGAAUCCUCACUGAUGCUGUCUUGGAAAAGCAGGUCACUAUGCUCAGAGCUGUGGAGGACAUUGCAGAAAAUCUAAGAGGGUAUGGGCCAGAUGAUAAGGUACCGGAACACCAGCUACAGGUAAGAACCACUAUAUGUCACAGCUAGUGCAUUCCUUCUUUUUAAGAAUGUACCAAAUUGUUGAUUUGGCCACUCCUAAACUUUCUAUCUGUGAUAAUGGAGGGACUCCGGUUAAUGCAAUAAUUUUGUUAAACCCCUUGAAUUAAAGCUGAAAGUCUACACUUCAAUCGCAUCUUCACUGCUUCAUUUCAAAUCCAUUGUGAUGGUGUACAGAGGCAAAAUUACAAAAUUGUGUUACUGUCCAAAUACUUACAGACCGGACUGUACAACUCUUUUUUGAGCUAUAUUUUCAUCAGUAGGGAAUAUAGUUGCUCUGGGAUGCUCUGUUCAGUAACUUAAAUACAAAAAAGUGUGAUAAGAGCAUGGAUCAUGAUCCAACCUGAAAAAAAUUAUGAUAUGAUAUUUUGCCAGAUCACCCACCUCUAGUCUCACAGUAACUUCUUCUCACAAUAACUUAUAUUCUCACUUUAACCUAGUCUUGCAUUAGCUUACAGUCUUGCAGUACCAUAACAUCUUGCAGUACCUUACAUUCACCAUCCACUUUAUUAGGAAUAUCUUUACAUUUAUCUAAUCAGCCAAUCAUGUGGCAGCAGCACAGUGCAUACAGUCAUGUAGAUACAGGUCAAGAGCUUCAAGUAAUGUCAGGUAACCAGACUGUCAGGUAACUAGAUGGGAUGGUUUGAGUAUUUCAGAAACUGCUGAUCUCCUGGGAAUUACUGUAGACUACCUAUCAGCUCGAACCAAUCUGGCCAUUUUCCUCUGACCUCUCUUAUCAACAAGGCAUUUCCACCCACAGAACUGUAGCUCACUCAAUCUUUUUUUGUUUUUCACACCAUUCUAUGUAAACUGUAGUGACUAGUGUGUGUGAAAUUCCCAGGAGAUCAGCAGUUUCUGAAAUACUCAAACCAGCCCUUCUGGUACCAACAACCAUGCCAUGGUCAAAAUCACAGAGAUGUCAAAUUUUUCCCCGUUCUGAUGUUUUAUGUGAAUGUUACCUGAAGCUCUUGACCUGUAUCUUGCAUGAUUUUUUUGCAUUGCGCUAAUGCCACAUGAUUGGCUGAUUAGAUAACUGCAUGAAUGUGCAGCUGUACAGGUGUUCCGAAUAAAUUAGACAGUGAGUGUAUAAUGUAACAUAACAUCAGAAGACUAGAACCCAUUGGGACCAACAGUGCUUCGUCCCAAAGGGAUAAAUACACACUACCCUAAUUAAUUUUUACAUUACGGACAAACCAUCAGGCAAAAAAAAAUAAAAAUCUGAGAGAAAAUUGUUGCCUCUUAAUAAGAGGAGGGUUCAUAGGGUGCCUAUGAAACUUCGGUGCUUGGCUCCUAAUAAUAAGUUACAAAGGACGAAAGUGUUUGGACCCAUUAACUGCUUACCAUAUGCUUUAUUAAAUCUGCCCUGCAUUCACUGUGUAUAGUGCCUAUGAUAAUUUCUCUUUGGAGAAUGUCUCUUUGGGACAUAGUACUUCUGGUGCUGCCCUGAGUGGCUGCCAGCUACAGUAGCUCCUGUGUUUUGUCUGUUUUUGUCUUUUUUGUAUAUUUUGUGUAAUUAAUUAGCUAGUUUUUUCACAGAAAAACUCAUGAAUGUGCAGGUGGAUUAUUAAGAAUGAAAAUGGCAUUGGAGAGGAGGCCUUUUGUCCUCUUUCUAUUUUUAUGGGGCUUUUUUUUUUGUUAGGAUUUUUACCCUAUUGUUUUCAUUAGGAUUUUUCUUCUUAUUUUUUUUCUUAUUAUUGGGGCACCAAGCACUUGUACUUGCAACUCUAUUGUCUGCAUUAGGACUUUUAUUCUGGUCAAAAGUGAAAACUGUAUGUUGAUUUAUUUUUCUAAUUAAUACAUUUGGGCCUAGCCUACCAAAAACUACUCAGAAAAUGCCAGACAUGUGGACCCUGGGCUGUGUGUGUGUGUGUGCGUGUGUGUGUGCGCGCACAUGUCUGUUUAUGUACAGUCAGUUUAUGUACAGCUGCACUAAGGUCAAGCAGCACCUUGCUGGUGCUGCUUGACCUUAGUGCAGCUUUUGAUACUAUUGAUCAUGCUAUUCUCCUCAAUAGACUAGAAAAUGUAGUAGGCAUUAAGGGAACAGCCCUUUCCUGGCUCAGGUCUUAUUUGACUGAUCGUUAUCAGUUUGUAAAUGUAAAUGGUGACUUCUCUUCUCAUGCUAAGGUAAAGUUUGGUGUCCCGCAAGGCUCUGUUUUAGGCCCACUGCUCUUUUCUCUAUAUAUGCUACCUCUGGGUAAAAUUAUCCGUAAGCAUGGUAUUAGCUUCCACUGUUACACUGAUGGCACACAGUUGUAUGUUUCAGCAAAGCCAGAUGACAGACACCAGCUUAAUAAAGUUGAGGAAUGUGUACAAGACAUUAGAAACUGGAUGCUUAUUAACUUUCUCUUACUUAAUUCGGACAAGACAGAAGUACUUGUACUAGGACCACAUGCAGCUAGAAGUAAGCUUUCUGAUUACAUAAUAACUCUGGAUGACCUUUCUGUUUCAUCAUGUGCAGCAGUAAAAGACCUUGGUGUGAUUAUCGACU